GUGGGGAAUAUUGGGCAAUGGGCGAAAGCCUGACCCAGCAACGCCGCGUGAGGGAAGAAGGCCUUCGGGUUGUAAACCUCUGUCCUUGGUGACGAAACAAAUGACGGUAGCCAAGGAGGAAGCCCCGGCUAACUACGUGCCAGCAGCCGCGGGAAUACGUAGGGGGCGAGCGUUGUCCGGAAUUACUGGGCGUAAAGGGUGCGUAGGUGGCCUUUUAAGUUGGAUGUGGAAUACCCGGGCUUAACUUGGGGGGUGCAUCUAAUACUGGAGGGCUAGAGUGCAGGAGAGGGAAGCGGAAUUCCUAGUGUAGCGGUGAAAUGCGUAGAUAUUAGGAGGAACACCAGUGGCGAAGGCGGCUUUCUGGACUGUAACUGACACUGAGGCACGAAAGCGUGGGGAGCAAACAGGAUUAGAUACCCGAGUAGUCC
rnacentral:rRNA from 1 species